rnacentral:lncRNA from 1 species
CUCUGGUCGGCUGUCCGGAGCAUUUUGGUUUUUGCUACGAAGUUCCUUUCUUAAAUGAUGUCGUUCCCAAGCUUCCUGAUGAAGCUGAAUGGAUUCUUCUUUUUCUUUCAUCUGAGCAGCUGCUUCUUCUUCUUGCUGACGUUUGGCCUGCUCUUCUUGCUUCUUUCUCUCUUCCUCUUGAUGUUUCUUUUUUUCUUCCUCUUCUUUUUUCUUUGAUUCUUCCUCUGCCUUCACCUUUUCUUCGUCUUUUUUCUUGCGUUCCUUGUCUUCCUUUUUUCUCUUAUCAUCUUCCAGUCUCUUCUUCUUGUCUUCAGGGGCCUUGCUGACCUCCUUCUUGGCAGUGAGCUUGAUAUCGUCUUUUGGCCUCUCCUUGCUGCUCACUGUCCGCCUUUCACUGCAGUCUUUUUCCUUGUUGUUUGGUAAAGAGUCUUUUUCUUCCAUACUUGCUGGCUUUUUACGCUCAGCUGGCAUUAUGUGACCCAGGACAAUCUCGAGCCUGUUGUCAACAUUAGCCCCGGGUUUC